GAGAGCGUGGCCCCCCACACUGGCACUGAGACACGGGCCAGACUCCUACGGGAGGCAGCAGUGAGGAAUAUUGCACAAUGGGCGCAAGCCUGAUGCAGCAACGCCGCGUGAGGGACGAAGGCCUUCGGGUUGUAAACCUCUUUUCUGAGGGACGAGGAAGGACGGUACCUCAGGAAUAAGUCUCGGCUAACUACGUGCCAGCAGCCGCGGUAAAACGUAGGAGGCGAGCGUUAUCCGGAUUUACUGGGCGUAAAGCGCGCGCAGGUGGCUUCGUGAGUCGGACAUGAAAGCUCCUGGCUUAACUGGGAGAGGCUGUUCGAUACUGCGGGGCUUGAGGUUGGGAGAGGGACGCGGAAUUCCCGGUGUAGUGGUGGAAUGCGUAGAUAUCGGGAGGAACACCAGUGGCGCAAGCGGCGUCCUGGCCCACACCUGACGCUGAGGUGCGAAAGCGUGGGUAGCAAACAGGAUUAGAUACCCUGGUAGUCCACGCUGUAAACGAUGUCAACUGGGUGUCGGUAGUUUUACACUAUCGGUGCCGAAGCUAACGCG
rnacentral:rRNA from 1 species